GUACUGCCGAAGAGUCCUAAACUGAGACGAAACGGAUGUCCAGUAC
rnacentral:hammerhead_ribozyme from 1 species